rnacentral:rRNA from 1 species
AUUGAACGCUGGCGGCAGGCCUAACACAUGCAAGUCGAACGGUAACAGGAAGCAGCUUGCUGCUUUGCUGACGAGUGGCGGACGGGUGAGUAAUGUCUGGGAAACUGCCCGAUGGAGGGGGAUAACUACUGGAAACGGUAGCUAAUACCGCAUAACGUCGCAAGACCAAAGAGGGGGACCUUAGGGCCUCUUGCCAUCGGAUGUGCCCAGAUGGGAUUAGCUAGUAGGUGGGGUAACGGCUCACCUAGGCGACGAUCCCUAGCUGGUCUGAGAGGAUGACCAGCCACACUGGAACUGAGACACGGUCCAGACUCCUACGGGAGGCAGCAGUGGGGAAUAUUGCACAAUGGGCGCAAGCCUGAUGCAGCCAUGCCGCGUGUAUGAAGAAGGCCUUCGGGUCGUAAAGUACUUUCAGCGGGGAGGAAGGGAGUAAAGUUAAUACCUUUGCUCAUUGACGUUACCCGCAGAAGAAGCACCGGCUAACUCCGUG